rnacentral:rRNA from 1 species
AAACUGGAGAUGGCGACCGGCGCACGGGUGAGUAACACGUAUCCAACCUGCCGAUAACUCGGGGAUAGCCUUUCGAAAGAAAGAUUAAUACCCGAUGGCAUAAUAGAACCGCAUGGUUUGAUUAUUAAAGAAUUUCGGUUAUCGAUGGGGAUGCGUUCCAUUAGGCAGUUGGUGGGGUAACGGCCCACCAAACCUUCGAUGGAUAGGGGUUCUGAGAGGAAGGUCCCCCACAUUGGAACUAAGACACGGUCCAA